AUUUAAGGCCAUACCCCUCUAAAUAUGCUCAAUUUCAUCUGAUCUCAAACGGCUAAGAAGGGUCAAGCCUGGUUAGUACUUGAAUCGGAGAGAGAGGUGUUUUGAUUA
ensembl:rRNA 5S_rRNA 5S ribosomal RNA